AAAACUAAGAACGUUCCAGUCAUGCGAGCUGUCCCACCACGUCUCUGUGAUCGCAACGAGAUCAUGGCCCCACGACCGAACACAGAUCUUGAGCUCAUCCUGUUUAUUUCCCAUGCUCCGCGCAUUGGCACUUUAGGGAAGCAGCAGGUGCA